CAAAUUAGAGCUUGGAUUUAAGUAUUUCAUUUACAUUGAAAAGACAUUAUAAUAUUAAUUAAUUUGA
rnacentral:tRNA from 1 species